UACAGAGGUCUCAAGCGUUGUUCGGAUUCAUUGGGCGUAAAGGGUGCGUAGGCGGCGCGGUAAGUCGGGUGUGAAAUCUUGGAGCUUAACUCCGAAACUGCAUUCGAUACUGCCGUGCUUGAGGACUGGAGAGGAGACUGGAAUUUACGGUGUAGCGGUGAAAUGCGUAGAUAUCGGGAAGAACACCCGUGGCGAAGGCGGUUCUCUGGGACGGUACUGACGCUGAGACGCGAAAGCGUGGGGAGCGAACAGG
rnacentral:rRNA from 1 species